rnacentral:rRNA from 1 species
UGGGGAAUAUUGCACAAUGGGCGAAAGCCUGAUGCAGCGACGCCGCGUGAGGGAUGACGGCCUUCGGGUUGUAAACCUCUUUCAGCAGGGACGAAGCGCAAGUGACGGUACCUGCAGAAGAAUCACCGGCUAACUACGUGCCAGCAGCCGCGGUAAUACGUAGGGUGCAAGCGUUGUCCGGAAUUACUGGGCGUAAAGAGUUCGUAGGCGGUUUGUCGCGGCGUUUGUGAAAACCAGCAGCUCAACUGCUGGCUUGCAGGCGAUACGGGCAGACUUGAGUACUGCAGGGGAGACUGGAAUUCCUGGUGUGGCGGUGAGAUGCGCAGAUAUCAGGAGGGACGCCGGUGGCGAAGGCAGGUCUCUGGGCAGUAACUGACGCUGAGGAACGAAGGCGUGGGUAGCGAACAGA